rnacentral:rRNA from 1 species
GACGAACGCUGGCGGCGUGCCUAACACAUGUAAGUCGCACGGGACUGGAGGGCAACUUCCAGUUCAGUGGCAGACGGGUGCGUAACACGUGAGGAACUUGUCCAACGGCGGGGGAUAGCCGGCCCAACGGCCGGGUAAUACCGCAUACGAUCGUUCGGGGGCAUCCCUGAACGAGGAAAGCAGCCGCAAGGUUGCGCCGAUGGAGAGUCUCGCGGCCUAUCAGCUAGUUGCGGGGAAUGGCCCACCAAGGCGACGACGGGUAGCUGGUCUGAGAGGAUGGCCAGCCACAUUGGGACUGAGACACGGCCCAGACUCCUACGGGAGGCAGCAGUGGGGAAUCUUGGACAAUGGGCGCAAGCCUGAUCCAGCCAUGCCGCGUGGGUGAAGAAGGCCUGG